GGACUACCAGGGUUUCUAAUCCUGUUUGCUCCCCACGCUCUCGUGCCUCAGUGUCAGUGUCAAUCCAGGUAGUCGCCUUCGCCACUGGUGUUCCUUCCGAUAUCUACGCAUUUCACCGCUACACCGGAAAUUCCACUACCCUCUAUCGCACUCCAGCUACGCAGUCUAAUCUGCAAUUCCCAGGUUAAGCCCGGGGAUUUCACAUAUCACUUACGUAACCACCUACGCACCCUUUACGCCCAGUAAUUCCGAUUAACGCUUGCACCCUCUGUAUUACCGCGGCUGCUGGCAC
rnacentral:rRNA from 1 species